AGCACACCCUGGCACAUUCCUUCCUGCUCCUCAAGGGAGAUCUUCCUCCCUCUGUAGCCAUGCUCUCAGUGACUCUUCUGCUACUUGGAAUGCUCUUCACAGCAAGAGGAACUGGAGCCCAGUUAGUGACCCAGCCUGACCGUCACAUCAGCGUCUCUGAAGGAAACCAUCUGGAGCUGAGAUGCAACUAUUCUUAUGGUGGAUCUAUUUCUCUCUUCUGGUAUGUCCAGUACCCCAGCCAAGGCCUCCAGUUUCUACUGAAGUAUUUAUCAGGGCCCACCUGGGUUAAAGGCAUCAAAGGCUUCGAGGCUGAAUUCAAGAAGGAUGAGAAGUCCUUCCACCUGAAGAAAGCUUCAGCCUAUUGGAGUGACUCUGCCAAGUACUUCUGUGCUCUGUGUGACACAGUGCCUGAGUUUGCAGGGGGAGCUGAACAAAAACCUUCUCAGACAUUGUAG